rnacentral:rRNA from 1 species
AUGGAGGUUGUCGAGAGUGUGGGAGCUAGUGGAGGCCUGAUCCUCUACUGGCGGAACCCGGUGGAAAUACAAGUGAAGGACAAAUCAAAGAAUUUCAUUGAUGUGGUUGUGGGAGGUUCAGCGGUUGAAUCUUGGAGGUUUACAGGUUUCUACGGAGAACCUAAGUGGGAGGAUAAGCACCUUUCAUGGGGGUACAUCCGCAGCCUGUAUCAGCAAGUGCGUGCACCAUGGGUAGUGGCAGGCGAUUUUAACGAGAUUCUGUAUUCUCAUGAGAAGGAAGGUGGAGCGCCGCGACCAACAAAUAUGAUGCAGAGAUUCAGGGACGCCUUGGUUGACAGUGAACUUGAGGAUAUGGGCUUCACCGGCGACCAAUUCACUUGGCGGCGAUGAAGAAUACGGGAGAGGCUGGAUAGAGCUGUAUGCAAUGGACAGUUCCUAGGUCUCUUCCCUAAUGCAAAGAUCACCAACACAGGGCAUACUAAAUCAGAUCAUAGACCGGUCCUUUUGGACACAGAUGGUGACUUGGCGAGCGAUCAUUUCAGAGCAAAACUCAAGCAGUUUGAAGCGAGAUGGUUGAAGGAGGAUGAUGUGGAGCAGCUUGUAUCUGAUGCAUGGAACAGAACUAAUCCACAUGCAACAUUGGCAGAACGUACUGCUGCGGUACAUGCAGAGAUGCACGUAUGGGAUAGGGAAAUCUUGAAGGCGCCCCAUAGACGCCUGAAAGAGCUUAAGGAGGAGUUGGAAAGCUUGCGGUCGGGCCCUCUCACUGACGAGUCGGCGGAUCGGCAACGUGCUUGCUGA